AAAUGACUAAUCUGAAUGUGAGAAAAAAGGAUCAUGCACAAGUUUGAUUCUGAAGAAAUAACAAUUCAGGCAUUCCAUUUACUUUGUUGGCUGUCACGACCUGCUGUGAAUCCAAGAAUUUCAUUUUACUGCGAGAAUACAAGAGGAGAUUCAUGUUUCUAAAUCAUUCAUCAUAGAAGUUUAAACAUGUAAUUUUCUGUUUCUGCUCGUUAUGGGGCAAACAUAUGGCAAUUGUUAUAGCAAUGAUGUACUUUAUACAGCACGCUUCCAAGCAGUUAAUAAAUGAGUAACGACCCAAAUGAUAUACAAUCCCAUGAUUCAUAAAUGAAGUUCAACCUAGUUUUGCAGUACAUGAGAAAGAACAGAUUACUGAUAGCCCAAUAUAACCAUCAUGUGUAACACCCAGAAGCCCUUUGGGCUGCAAAUUUUUGUUUCUUACAACUGCAAAUAAAUUUUCAAUUCCAUAUUUUCCAUCCACAUCCAAGCUGUUGCUCAAUAUUUGUUCAUGGCAUCAUUUCAUGAAGAGCAUCCUUCAAGCCCCAAUUUGGAAGUCAGCCAAGCGCAGACCUCAUCCAUCUCUUGCGGGAUUGUGUAGUGACCAAGCCCAUUGUAUGCUUUGAAUGUCACAUCCUGGAAACCAGUUGAAGACAAAACCCGUGACGAUUUUUCACCAAAUUUAUAAGGAACCACAUCAUCACCUUUGCCAUGACAGAGCAAUAUGGGCAGGGAUAAGGCACGCCUUGCAGCUUCUUCCACCCCCUCAAUUUUGUUACUCAAGGUCUUUGAACAUGGAAGCCAGCCACUUAAUCCAACAACUGCACUCAAAUUGCCAGGGUACUGAUUUCCAUUUGCAUACUUCCCUAAAGUAAAGCAUGUUGCAGAGUAUAAGGAAGUAGCUGCACCCAUGCUGAAGCCUCCAAUACCAAGUUUAAUGUCAGCAGGUUCUGUUGACAAUAAAUUUGCGACAUGUGCCGCAGCAGCAUCUAAACCCUCCACAUCAUCGGGAGCAUCUUCUGAAAGGUCUCCCACAUCAAACCAUGCUGUGGAUGGGAAGCCACCAAAAACAGUUAUAGGUUGAGUUGGAGAAGUUGGGCAGAUCCAUUUAAUAUUUGGAAGAGGA
rnacentral:misc_RNA from 1 species